UACGUAGGGGGCAAGCGUUGUCCGGAAUCAUUGGGCGUAAAGAGCGUGUAGGUGGCUCGGUAAGUCCGCUGUGAAAGUUCAGGGCUCAACCCUGGAAAGCCGGUGGAAACUGUCGAGCUCGAGUCCGGAAGAGGCGAGUGGAAUUCCUGGUGUAGCGGUGAAAUGCGCAGAUAUCAGGAGGAACACCAAUGGCGAAGGCAGCUCGCUGGGACGGUACUGACACUGAGACGCGAAAGCGUGGGGAGCAAACAGG
rnacentral:rRNA from 1 species